rnacentral:rRNA from 1 species
UACGUAGGGGGCAAGCGUUAUCCGGAUUUACUGGGUGUAAAGGGAGCGUAGACGGCAUGGCAAGUCAGAUGUGAAAGCCCGGGGCUCAACCCCGGGACUGCAUUUGAAACUGUCAGGCUGGAGUGCAGGAGAGGUAAGCGGAAUUCCUAGUGUAGCGGUGAGAUGCGUAGAUAUUAGGAGGAACACCAGUGGCGAAGGCGGCUUACUGGACUGUAACUGACGUUGAGGCUCGAAAGCGUGGGGAGCAAACAGG